AGUGAACGCUGGCGGUAGGCCUAACACAUGCAAGUCGAACGGCAGCACAGUAAGAGCUUGCUCUUACGGGUGGCGAGUGGCGGACGGGUGAGGAAUACAUCGGAAUCUACUUUUUCGUGGGGGAUAACGUAGGGAAACUUACGCUAAUACAGCAUACGACCUACGGGUGAAAGCAGGGGAUCUUCGGACCUUGCGCGAGUGAAUGAGCCGAUGUCGGAUUAGCUAGUUGGCGGGGUAAAGGCCCACCAAGGCGACGAUCCGUAGCUGGUCUGAGAGGAUGAUCAGCCACACUGGAACUGAGACACGGUCCAGACUCCUACGGGAGGCAGCAGUGGGGAAUAUUGGACAAUGGGCGCAAGCCUGAUCCAGCCAUACCGCGUGGGUGAAGAAGGCCUUCGGGUUGUAAAGCCCUUUUGUUGGGAAAGAAAAGCAGCAGGUUAAUACCCCGCUGUUCUGACGGUACCCAAAGAAUAAGCACCGGCUAACUUCGUG
rnacentral:rRNA from 1 species